GACGCAGCUCGGCGAACGGCUCAGUAACACGUGGGUAACCUACCCUAUGGUCUGGGAUAACCUCGGGAAACUGAGGGUAAACCCAGAUAGAGUAAGCUUGCUGGAAUGCAGCUUACUCAAAAGGCAACGCCAUAGGAUGGGCCUGCGGCAGAUUAGGUAGUUGGUGGGGUAACGGCCCACCAAGCCGAUGAUCUGUACGGGCAAUGGAAGUUGGAGCCCGGAGAAGGGGACUGAGACAAGGCCCCUAGCCCUACGGGGUGCAGCAGACGCGAAACCUUCACAAUACGCGAAAGCGUGAUGAGGGGACUCCAAGUGCUCAUGGGAAACCAUGGGCGUUUGUCAAGUGUAAACAGCUUGACGAAUAAGGACCGGGCAAUGCCCGUGCCAGCCGCCGCGGUAAUACGGGAGGUCCAAGUGGUAUCCACGUAUAUUGGGCUUAAAGCGUCCGUAGCUGGUCCAGCAAGUUUCUAGUGAAAGCUCGCGGCUUAACCGUGAGAAUUGCUAGAAAUACUGCUGGACUUGGAGGCGGGAGAGGCCAGGGGUACUUCCANGGU
rnacentral:rRNA from 1 species